GAUCAGAUGGCCGAGCGGUCUAAGGCGCCAGCUUAAGGUGUAUGGUCGUUUUCAGAACGUCCAUAGAUAAGCGCUGGUCCGAAAGGGCGCGGGUUCGAAUCCCGUUCUGAUCA